AUGAACGCUAGCUACAGGCUUAACACAUGCAAGUCGAGGGGCAUCAGGAAGAAAGCUUGCUUUCUUUGCUGGCGACCGGCGCACGGGUGAGUAACACGUAUCCAACCUGCCCUUUACUCGGGGAUAGCCUUUCGAAAGAAAGAUUAAUACCCGAUGGCAUAAUGAUUCCGCAUGGUUUCAUUAUUAAAGGAUUCCGGUAAAGGAUGGGGAUGCGUUCCAUUAGGUUGUUGGUGAGGUAACGGCUCACCAAGCCUUCGAUGGAUAGGGGUUCUGAGAGGAAGGUCCCCCACAUUGGAACUGAGACACGGUCCAAACUCCUACGGGAGGCAGCAGUGAGGAAUAUUGGUCAAUGGGCGCUAGCCUGAACCAGCCAAGUAGCGUGAAGGAUGAAGGCUCUAUGGGUCGUAAACUUCUUUUAUAUAAGAAUAAAGUGCAGUAUGUAUACUGUUUUGUAUGUAUUAUAUGAAUAAGGAUCGGCUAACUCCGUGCCAGCAGCCGCGGUAAUACGGAGGAUCCGAGCGUUAUCCGGAUUUAUUGGGUUUAAAGGGAGCGUAGGUGGACUGGUAAGUCAGUUGUGAAAGUUUGCGGCUCAACCGUAAAAUUGCAGUUGAUACUGUCAGUCUUGAGUACAGUAGAGGUGGGCGGAAUUCGUGGUGUAGCGGUGAAAUGCUUAGAUAUCACGAAGAACUCCGAUUGCGAAGGCAGCUCACUGGACUGCAACUGACACUGAUGCUCGAAAGUGUGGGUAUCAAACAGGAUUAGAUACCCUGGUAGUCCACACAGUAAACGAUGAAUACUCGCUGUUUGCGAUAUACAGUAAGCGGCCAAGCGAAAGCAUUAAGUAUUCCACCUGGGGAGUACGCCGGCAACGGUGAAACUCAAAGGAAUUGACGGGGGCCCGCACAAGCGGAGGAACAUGUGGUUUAAUUCGAUGAUACGCGAGGAACCUUACCCGGGCUUAAAUUGCAGUGGAAUGAUGUGGAAACAUGUCAGUGAGCAAUCACCGCUGUGAAGGUGCUGCAUGGUUGUCGUCAGCUCGUGCCGUGAGGUGUCGGCUUAAGUGCCAUAACGAGCGCAACCCUUAUCUUUAGUUACUAACAGGUUAUGCUGAGGACUCUAGAGAGACUGCCGUCGUAAGAUGUGAGGAAGGUGGGGAUGACGUCAAAUCAGCACGGCCCUUACGUCCGGGGCUACACACGUGUUACAAUGGGGGGUACAGAAGGCAGCUAGCGGGUGACCGUAUGCUAAUCCCAAAAGCCUCUCUCAGUUCGGAUCGAAGUCUGCAACCCGACUUCGUGAAGCUGGAUUCGCUAGUAAUCGCGCAUCAGCCACGGCGCGGUGAAUACGUUCCCGGGCCUUGUACACACCGCCCGUCAAGCCAUGGGAGCCGGGGGUACCUGAAGUACGUAACCGCAAGGAUCGUCCUAGGGUAAAACUGGUGACUGGGGC
rnacentral:rRNA from 1 species